rnacentral:rRNA from 1 species
UACGGAGGGGGCUAGCGUUGAUCGGAAUUACUGGGCGUAAAGCGCGCGUAGGCGGACCUGCAAGUCGGGUGUGAAAGCCCGAGGCUCAACCUCGGAACUGCAUUCGAUACUGCGGGUCUCGAGUCCGGGAGAGGUGAGUGGAAUUCCUAGUGUAGAGGUGAAAUUCGUAGAUAUUAGGAAGAACACCAGUGGCGAAGGCGGCUCACUGGCCCGGUACUGACGCUGAGGCGCGAAAGCGUGGGGAGCAAACAGG